rnacentral:rRNA from 1 species
UACGAACCGUGCGAACGUUGUUCGGAAUCACUGGGCUUAAAGGGCGCGUAGGCGGCAUAGCAAGUCCGGGGUGAAAGCCCCCGGCUCAACCGGGGAAGUGCCUUGGAAACUGCUGUGCUCGAGGGAGGUAGGGGUCGAGGGAACUUCUGGUGGAGCGGUGAAAUGCGCAGAUAUCAGGAGGAACACCGGUGGCGAAGGCGGGUCUCUGGGCCGUAACUGACGCUGAGGAGCGAAAGCGUGGGGAGCAAACAGG